UGCAAGUCGAGCGGGGGAAGGUAGCUUGCUACCGGACCUAGCGGCGGACGGGUGAGUAAUGCUUAGGAAUCUGCCUAUUAGUGGGGGACAACAGUUGGAAACGGCUGCUAAUACCGCAUACGCCCUACGGGGGAAAGCAGGGGAUCUUCGGACCUUGCGCUAAUAGAUGAGCCUAAGUCGGAUUAGCUAGUUGGUGGGGUAAAGGCCUACCAAGGCGACGAUCUGUAGCGGGUCUGAGAGGAUGAUCCGCCACACUGGGACUGAGACACGGCCCAGACUCCUACGGGAGGCAGCAGUGGGGAAUAUUGGACAAUGGGGGCAACCCUGAUCCAGCCAUGCCGCGUGUGUGAAGAAGGCCUUUUGGUUGUAAAGCACUUUAAGCGAGGAGGAGGCGCCCUAGAUUAAUACUCUAGGUGCGUGGACGUUACUCGCAGAAUAAGCACCGGCUAACUCUGUGCCAGCAGCCGCGGUAAUACAGAGGGUGCAAGCGUUAAUCGGAUUUACUGGGCGUAAAGCGUGCGUAGGUGGCCAAUUAAGUCAAAUGUGAAAUCCCCGAGCUUAACUUGGGAAUUGCAUUCGAUACUGGUUGGCUAGAGUAUGGGAGAGGAUGGUAGAAUUCCAGGUGUAGCGGUGAAAUGCGUAGAGAUCUGGAGGAAUACCGAUGGCGAAGGCAGCCAUCUGGCCUAAUACUGACACUGAGGUACGAAAGCAUGGGGAGCAAACAGGAUUAGAUACCCUGGUAGUCCAUGCCGUAAACGAUGUCUACUAGCCGUUGGGGCCUUUGAGGCUUUAGUGGCGCAGCUAACGCGAUAAGUAGACCGCCUGGGGAGUACGGUCGCAAGACUAAAACUCAAAUGAAUUGACGGGGGCCCGCACAAGCGGUGGAGCAUGUGGUUUAAUUCGAUGCAACGCGAAGAACCUUACCUGGUCUUGACAUAGUAAGAACUUUCCAGAGAUGGAUUGGUGCCUUCGGGAACUUACAUACAGGUGCUGCAUGGCUGUCGUCAGCUCGUGUCGUGAGAUGUUGGGUUAAGUCCCGCAACGAGCGCAACCCUUUUCCUUAUUUGCCAGCGGGUUAAGCCGGGAACUUUAAGGAUACUGCCAGUGACAAACUGGAGGAAGGCGGGGACGACGUCAAGUCAUCAUGGCCCUUACGAC
rnacentral:rRNA from 1 species